GUCGUGUUGGCCUUAGUGGAUUUCCUGGGUUGCCGGGGCCGAUGGGAGAGAUGGGCAAAUCAGGAGAGGGAGGCCCUGAAGGAGAGCCCGGUAUUAAGGGAAGACCAGGCGUCCCAGGAGGAACUGGCAUUAAAGGACAUAAGGGACUUCAAGGUCUUUCUGGUAACCGCGGAGUUGAUGGAACCCAUGGACCAUCUGGACCUAUAGGUCUGCCAGGACAAGAUGGAGACACCGGACCACGGGGAGAAAAGG